rnacentral:rRNA from 1 species
CAGUAGCCGCGGGAAAACGAAGGGGGCUAGCGUUGCUCGGAAUGACUGGGCGUAAAGGGCGCGUAGGCGGUCCGCUAAGACAGAUGUGAAAUCCCCGGGCUUAACCUGGGAACUGCAUUUGUGACUGGCGGGCUAGAGUAUGGCAGAGGGGGGUAGAAUUCCACGUGUAGCAGUGAAAUGCGUAGAGAUGUGGAGGAAUACCGAUGGCGAAGGCAGCGCCCUGGGCCAAUACUGACGCUCAUGCACGAAAGCGUGGGGAGCAAACAGGAUUAGAUACCCCCGUAGUCCCUGUCUCUUAUAU